GGACCCUGAAGCGUUUGCCAUGACAACCAGGGCGGGGCAAGACUAACGGGGGCCUCCUUUCUGCCUCGCCCGGCUUGGGAGUGAGGGACCUGGACCAAAGGCUGGACCCGCAGUGUCCGUCACACGCUCCCUGGCUGUUGACUGGCCUGUCGUCGGUGGUAAUAUCUUAGCAAUUGCUGGCUUGUCUUAGAUCCCUUGAUUUAUUAUUAUCCUAGGCCCUUUACCACAAACCGCAGGCGAAGAGUUGUAGUAGUAGGAUUUAUUGAGUCCAUAUGAAGCAAUCUACUAGGCUUUUUUUUUUUUUAAAUGGCAUUUAAUCUUUGGGACAAUCCAAUCAGAUAAGAGACAAAGUUUGGUUGGAUUAACUAAUUCAGAGGCAGUCUGUUCCUGUAUAAUGACCCACCAGCACACUCAUGCAAAACCCUCUGUCCUGCGUGUUGUAGAAAGGCCUUUGCAUGCUGUGUUAGGCUGGAAGGCUCUGGAGGUAACCCAGAUUUGUCCACUUUAUUUAACAGAUUGCAGUGGAGAAUCUCAGGCAUCUCUUCAGACACAGAGGAAAGAAACCCUUGAGAGCAUCUUUUUGGCAACUGGGAAGAUGUCGGUCCAGUGGCGUCCACACACCUUCUGAGGGCUGAAGGUUGUGAUGGAAAUAAAUCUGAGAACCACUUGUCAACCUGGGGACACUGUCUACAACCUGCCCAGCUCCAAGCAGCCAGUGUUUCAUGACUUAUGGAGUCUUUACAGACCUUCAGAGAACUCAGCCAUAGGGUAUUGAAAUCUACUUGCAGUUUUAAGAUUGCACUCACUAGAAAGUUCCUAGUUUUAACUUGUUCCUAGUUCUUCUUCUUAGCUGCUUCCUGGGGUCCUGAGUAUGUACAGCCAGUUCUCAAUUUACCAUGGCUCAACAAACAUUGUUGUUGGUUUCUUGGAAUAUUAAAUGCAUUCUUUGUACUCAG